rnacentral:rRNA from 1 species
GACGAACGCUGGCGGCGUGCUUAACACAUGCAAGUCGAACGGAAAGGCCCUGCUUUUGUGGGGUGCUCGAUUGGCGAACGGGUGAGUAACACGUGAGUAACCUGCCCUUGACUUUGGGAUAACUUCAGGAAACUGGGGCUAAUACCGGAUAUGAGCUCCUGCUGCAUGGUGGGGGUUGGAAAGUUUCGGCGGUUGGGGAUGGACUCGCGGCUUAUCAGCUUGUUGGUGGGGUAGUGGCUUACCAAGGCUUUGACGGGUAGCCGGCCUGUGAGGGUGACCGGCCACAUUGGGCCUGAGAUACGGACCAGAAUCCUACGGGAGGCAGCAGUGGGGAAUAUUGCACAAUGGGCGGAAGCCUGAUGCAGCAACGCCGCGUGCGGGAUGACGGCCUUCGGGUUGUAAACCGCUUUCGCCUGUGACGAAGCGUGAGUGACGGUAAUGGGUAAAGAAGCACCGGCUAACUACGUG